rnacentral:rRNA from 1 species
CCUACGGGUGGCAGCAGUGAGGAAUAUUGGUCAAUGGGCGCGAGCCUGAACCAGCCAAGUCGCGUGAAUGAUGACUGCCCUACGGGUUGUAAACUUCUUUUGUGAAGGAAUAAGGUGCAGCGCGUAUGCCUUUUUGUAUGGACUUUAUGAAUAAGGGUCGGCUAACUCCAUGCCAGCAGACGAGGUAAGACGGAGGAUCCGAGCGUUAUCCGGAUUUAUUGGGUUUAAAGGGAGCGUAGAUGGGUUGUUAAGUCAGUUGUGAAAGUUUGGGGCUCAACCGUAAAAUUGCAACUGAUACUGGCAGGCUUGAGUACAGUUGAGGUAGGCGGAAUUCGUGGUGUAGCGGUGAAAUGCUUAGAUAUCACGAAGAACUCCGAUUGCGAAGGCAGCUUACUAAACUGCGACUGACAUUGAUGCGCGAAAGCGUGGGUAUCAAACAGGAUUAGAUACCCUAGUAGUC